CCCCGCCGCGCAACGGGGAGGCGGUGCGGCGGUCCCCCUCAUGCUGCGGGCCGGGCCGAGUGCAGGUGCGGGCGGGGCGGGGCUGUGCCCGGGGCCGCCUGCCCUCCCUGGCUGGGACCGUGGCUUCUGCAGGGGGAUUUCUGUAGGUCCUGGCACAACAGGGCAGGGACCACGUAGGAUUCAGCUAAAGGCGUCCUGCAGGAUCCAGGGCAGGCGCUUACUCAUACGUGACUGCAUAUGGCAAUGUGCAUCUGUGUUUUGGUAAGGGCUUCCACAAAACCAGGACCUGUCCUGGGUCAGCACAGCUCUGAGCAGGUGGGUCUUGCUGGCCAGCCAGAAGCCUCGUUCUCUGAGUUAAGAGCAGCACGCUAACUCACACUGAUUCAUGGGGCACUGCUAAGCUGUUAAUAACGCUCACUGGAGGAGACUAAUCGUACCGCAUACCUGGCAGCCUUAGUCUUUAAUGAAUUUCAGGCCUUCAGACACUUAUAAAUAAAUACAUGAACUGGGGGAUUUAGCUGACCUGUAUAUUUCACAGAGUUCCACUGAAGCACCGUGACGUGUUCUGCACAUCCCAAAGCCUUCAACGCUUCUGUAACACCCUUGUGAGUAAGCAAAGCUCAGCUAUGAGUGGAAAUCGGAGAUCAGGUGCCUCAGUUAAAGGUCACAAAACUGUUCCAUGGUGGAGCUGAGGAUGAACCAUGGUCUGCCAACCCCAGUCUACCAUGUCAACUUUACCGAAACACACAAGGCUGUUUUCUUAAAAUUAAUUCCAGUAAUCACAGUUCUUUCUGGACACUAAAAUGUGUGGUUAUCCACUUCACCAAGACCCACCAAAAGAUAGGCUUGUUCUGGAAAGUAUUUUUUCAUCUCAGGACACAUUAAUUUUAUUUUUAAAAAGGUAUGUUAGUACAGUUUGGAUAUUUUUUAUUUUCUAAAGCAAAGCUGGGUCUGGUUAGUUUUAUAGCAGAGAGAAUUUAGAAAAGUGGCGUAUCGAUACACACCUGUCAUCUCUUCAGAAAUAAACCAGUACUGAGGUUACACAGCAUGCAGGGAUGGAGUUUGUUUACUCUUUUCAUCUGUUGUCACCUUCUCUUUUGCAAAUCAUUUUAAAUGAGGAGGAAGCGAACUGACAAAUAUGGGCAGUCUCAUUACAGUGUCUCAUCUUUCCUGAUAACAGCGCUAGUAGGUUAUGGAUGAAGUCAGUAAAAGCAGGCAUAUUGAUUACAAAGUCAGAAGACCUCUCACAUACAUUUGCAACAAACCCUGAAGACUAAAAAUGGAGUGGUUUACAGUGCUGUUUUCUCAGGCAUCAGCUGCAGGGUUGGAUUCCUCUCCUGCAGAUACAGUGUCCCCCAGCAGCCCCCAGUUCUGCUGACCUCCCCCUGACUGGUAGAGCAUUUUGUCAAGAGUGAAGACUCACAGGCUUCGAGAGGAAGAUUUCCAGCUAACCCCUGGAGAAGGACUUUCCACUUGUUAAUGUCUUUCAUCACCCUCCCAGCUCUGAGAGGUGGUGGUGAUCUCCCCCCUGUCAUCCAAAAGCAGCAAGAAGGAAAGUAGUCUCUUGAGCUUGCACUCCAGCACCAUCUGAGAUGCCUUCAGAUGUGCGCCUGCAUUUUAUGUGCCUUUGACAAUGUUGUCUCACACAUUUUGGGGAUGAAAGAACCACAAGUCAAGGCAGAGGCUUUUCCCACUGGGGCAAAAGGGCACCCUAGACAACACCCUAGCAAACUCCUUCACUGCUUUCAAAGCAAGUGACAACACAUUUGAAAAAAAAUAUUUGACCCAUUUAAGAUAAAUCUUGUUUACUUUGCUUGCAUGAAUAGAAUUGCUAAUGUUAGCAGGAGGAAGAUGAGCAGAAUGUGGCACUACUUGCUUCCCUAUGCAUUCGAAUUUUCUGUAAUGAGCAUUUUUCACUUGAAAUUUGGCAGACCUUUUCAAAAAGAAAAUAAAAGAAAAAAACCCCCAAACAAAUUAAAAAACCUCAACCCAAACAAGCGAACAGAAAGCCCAUAGAUAAUAGGCUGACAGUAGUGACCAAUAUGGAAUAAUUACCCCUGUAACACAGUCCAGAGCAUGCAUGAGGAUCUGCAUGCCAGGUAUAUGCAGGAAUGGACAGGCUCUGGCCCUGUGCAUUUGGCUGUCAGAUCACUGCAGCAGUGACGCUGUUGGUACUCGGGGCCUUCAAACAGGUGGUCUGUCAACAUGCUUUUGAGUCCCUAAUCGUGUGUGUGUACGUAUUUAUGAUCUUCACCUCUAGGAAACUGUGUUCCUGUACCAGCCAUUCUUUCUCUUUUGGGGCUAGCCCUUAACUCCAAGAUUUGUAGCUUACAAUUUCUUUUUCCAGACUCAGCCUUACUGUGGUCCUCAAAAAUGGGGAAGGAGAUCCCUUUUUAAUUUUGUUUCCAUUGAGGUCCCUGAUCUUGCUUAGGACGUUAGUCACCCUUGGCUCAAGGAUGUGGAGCAACCUCCUGAAUCAGACAUAGCAUUGCUGGAAGUGAAACAGUAGCUGCAGAUACCAUCUGCUCAGGAUACUGUGUCAGUGCUGUCCCCUGGCUUUGUUAUUGCCAGCCAGAUUUGCAGAAGCACUAGGCAAGUUAGCAAAGCAAAGCAACCAGGGUUGGGUUAUUUUCAUUACCCUCUGUUUCCUUGCAGCUGGUCAAAAUAGUCAAGACCUUCCAAAUCCGACCAGAUUGACAUGGAAGUGAAAGCUGAACAUGUGAGGUACCUGAACCUGGUUGUCAUGCCCCAUUUCAGCAGCAAGAAUUAUAGCAUAGUUUGGGUUGGAAUGGACCACAGGUCAUCUAUUCCAACCUCCUGCAAUGAGCAGGGACAUCUUCAACUAGAUCAGGUUGCUCAGAGCCCCGUCCAGCCUGGCCUUGAAUGUCUCCAGGGAUGGGGCAUCUACCACCUCUCUGGGCAACCUGGGCCAGUGUUUCACCACCCUCAUGGUAAAAAAUUUCUUCCUCAUGCCCAGCCUGAAUCUCGCCUCUUUUAGUUUAAAACCAUUACCCCUUGUCCUAUUGCAACAGGCCCUUCUAAAAAGUCUGUCCCCAUCUUUCUUAUAGGUCCCCUUAAGUACUGAAAGGCCACAAAAAGGUCUUUCCAGAGCCUUCUCUUCUCCAGGCUCAAUAAUCCCAACUGUCUCAGCCUAUCCUCACAGGAGAGGUAAAGAACAUACAGCUCGCUGUGCCCACUCAUACCAGAAGACAAAAGUGGUAAGCCAGAAGAUUUAACAUCUCCAAAGCCCUAGGGCGAGUCCCCAAAAAAGACACCAUGCAGGGCAGUGGGGUCACGCACAGCCAGGAAGCCUCCAGGACAGUGGAGGGUGCAGCCGGGGCCCCACUGGGUUGCUGUGAAGCGUGAAGACCAAGCUGCUGCUGACAGCUGCUGAGCUGAGCUCAGCCCUCAGCCCUGGGCAGUCCUCAGGGGUCCCAGCCCUCUCCCCAUCACAGUGUCCUGCCAGGACUGUGCCUCUGCUGCUCGUCUCCCCACAGAGAGCUCCCAGGCUAGGGACAGCGAAACUGCCCAGCCCCUGCAAGCUCAGCCAUUGCAAGGAGGGGAGAGAUGGGCUUAUUCGAGGAGUUGUUACUGGUACCAGUAAGCACAGUAUGGUGGCUGCUCUCUGCCUGCUUACCCUGCAUCUGCUCUUGAAAAACACCACUGAAAACAGCCUUGGGCCAUUAACUUUGCCUGGUGUUCAAAGACUGGGAUUCUUACUGUUAGGGAUGAUUUUCCAAAGGUGCAGA